UUCCGGUUGAUCCCGCCGGACCCGACUGCUAUCAGAGUAGGACUAAGCCAUGCGAGUCAACGUAUGAAUAAUACGUGGCGAACGGCUCAGUAACACGUAGUCAACAUGCCCAAAGGACGUGGAUAACCUCGGGAAACUGAGGAUAAACCGCGAUAGGUCAUAAUUACUGGAAUGUGUUAUGGCUCAAAUCUAUAUGGCCUUUGGAUUGGACUGCGGCCGAUCAGGCUGUUGGUGAGGUAAUGGCCCACCAAACCUGUAACCGGUACGGGCUCUGAGAGGAGGAGCCCGGAGAUGGGCACUGAGACAAGGGCCCAGGCCCUAUGGGGCGCAGCAGGCGCGAAACCUCUGCAAUGGGCGAAAGCCUGACAGGGUUACUCUGAGUGAUUUCCGCUAAGGGAAUCUUUUGGCACCUCUAAAAAUGGUGCAGAAUAAGGGGUGGGCAAGUCUGGUGUCAGCCGCCGCGGUAAUACCAGCACCCCGAGUGGUCGGGACGAUUAUUGGGCCUAAAGCAUCCGUAGCCGGUCUUGCAAGUCUUCCGUUAAAUCCACCUGCUUAACAGAUGGGCUGCGGAGGAUACUAUAAGGCUAGGAGGCGGGAGAGGCAAGCGGUACUCAGUGGGUAGGGGUAAAAUCCUCUGAUCCAUUGAAGACCACCAGUGGCGAAGGCGGCUUGCCAGAACGCGCUCGACGGUGAGGUAUGAAAGCUGGGGGAGCAAACCGGAUUAGAUACCCGGGUAGUCCCAGCUGUAAACGAUGCAGACUCGGUGAUGGGCCGGCUUUAUGCCAGCUCAGUGCCGCAGGGAAGCCGUUAAGUCUGCCGCCUGGGGAGUACGGUCGCAAGACUGAAACUUAAAGGAAUUGGCGGGGGAGCACCACAAGGGGUGAAGCCUGCGGUUCAAUUGGAUUCAACGCCGGAACCCA
rnacentral:rRNA from 1 species